UCCCUGGUGGUCUAGUGGCUAAGACUCCUCGCUCUGAAAUGCAGGGGGUCUGGAUUCGAUCCCUGGCCAGGGAA
rnacentral:tRNA from 1 species